AAGUGAAAUCAGCAGAGGAGUCAGAAUUAGAAGAGCUGGGUCCUGGAUUCACCUGUGUAAAUUUGGACAAAUCAGAAGGAAACAGAUUUCAUCUUCAAGCAAAGGGUAUUAUGACCACUCAUCAGGAUUGUGACCUGUUAUCCUGAAAAGCUAUUCCAGAAGAAUGCAAGUAACAAGCUAAAAAGGCUUUGAACAUGGACACAAGGAUGGCCUGUUUGUAUAUAUGACCAGCCUAUUUUUGGAGAGGCUCAUUAACAGAUUGCCUUCAAGAUGACAAUUUUUGGGGUCACACAACUUUAGAAGAUCUUACACUAAGUUACAGAAAGAGAGGUGGCUCUGGCGGCAGCUUGCUGAGCAUUUCUGCAUCUUGGCAUGGUGGCAGCGAUUGUCCAGGUUUGGCGGUGAGUUUUUUCCUUGAUACUAUACUGGGAGAAGUUUAGUAGCCUAGUUCAGGUGAGGCAUCUUCACUGAGCUCUCUUGGAGUUUAGGCUGAUUCUUUUCUCCUUUACCUUCCAAACACUAUCCUCUUAGGAAAGUCUCUUAUCUCCUUCAAAAACCUCCUAGUAGAGGUCUUUGAACUCCCCCUGGCAAAAGCCAGGUGGGAGAAAUCCUAAACCCUCUCUCUCUCUCUUCUCCUUAAUUUUGUCCCUCGAUAUUAAUUAAAAUCACCAUAAAUUUCCAAACUGACUUGGGUAUUUUAUUUGGGAUUUUCUCUGGCAACCAAAUUAAUUUAGAUUAAGUCACAACCCUAAAAUUACCCUUACAGUUUUAAUGACAUGGCCUAAAGUUAACAUACAAAGAAGUUACAAAGUUAAGAAUUUGAAGUCCAAGAACCCCAAUACAUGAGCAGUUAGGUAAGUUUGAACCCUGCUUAGUGUUGUCAUAUAACCUCGCAGCUUGAAUUUCCUAAGAUAAAAUGAGGAUCGUAAUAGCACCUACUUUACGAAGUUGUUUUAUGAGCCAAAUGAGAUAAUAUAUAGAGAGCACUUUACAAACCUUACAAUGCUAUAUAAAUGUUAGUUAUUGUUAUUGUGGUUGUUGUCUUCUGUUUAGAAGAAAUUAUUGGUAAUUUAGUAGGUAAGGUCUAGGGAUUUGGUUUUUUAAAGUCAAGAACUGAGUCCAAGCUUUCUUGACUCCAAGCCCAGGAUUCCAACCACAAUGCUAUGUUGCCUCUUUCUCUACUUGGUCUAUUAACAUGAUACUCUCUCUCUUUUUUCACAAAUAUUCAAAUUCCAAAUAAUCCUUAACAAGACUGCGUUACUGCAGACUAAGUGGCCAGCUUGUUUUUUCUCUGUUAAGAUUUUCCACUUUUUAUAAAUAUAUGUUAGGAAAAAAUAAAAAGAUGCUUGUUACAAUACAUUGACUGAUUUGUUUUAAAAGGGUAAUCUUUGGGAAAGGAAAGAUUUUAAGACCAAGCAAGAGUUAGAAAAAAUUACAAAAUGUUAAAUAAAUAAUUUUGAUUACAUCAAAUUAAAAAGUUUUUGUACAAACAAAACCAAUGUAACUAAAAUCAGAAGGGAAGCAACAAAUUGGGAAACAAUCUUCAUAACAAAAUCCUCUGACAAAGGUCUAAUUACUCAAAUUUAUAAGGAGCUAAAUCAAUUGUACAAAAAAAUCAAGCCAUUCCCCAAUUGGCAUAUGGGCAAGGGACAUGAAUAGGCAAUUUUCUGAUAAAGAAAUCAAAACUAUCAAUAAACUCAUGAAAAUGUGUUCUAAAUCUCUCAUAAUCAGAGAAAUGCAAAUCAAAACAACUCUGAGGUACCACCUCACACCUAGCAGAUUGGUUAACAUGACAGCAAAGGAAAAUAAUAAAUGUUGGAGGGGAUGUGGCAAAAUUGGGACAUUAAUGCAUUGCUGGUAGAAUUGUAAAUUGAUCCAACCAUUCUGGAGGGCAAUUUGGAACUAUGCCCAAAGGGCGCUAAGACCGCCUGUCCUUUGAUCCAGCCAUAGUACUGCUGGGUUUAUACCCCAAAGAAGUCAUAAGGAAAAAGAUUUCUACAAAAAUAUUCAUAGUUGCGCUCUUUGUGGUGGCAAAAAAAUUGGAAAAAUGAUGGGGAAUGGCUGAACAAAUCAGAGUAUCAGUUGGUAAUGGAAUACUAUUGUGCUCAGAGAAACAAUGAACUGGAGGAAUUCCAUGUGAACUGGAAUGACCUCCAGGAAUUGAUGCAGAGUGAAAGGAGCAGAACCAGGAGAACAUUAUACACAGAGACUGAUACUAUGUGGUACAAUCGAAUGUAAUGGACUUCUCUACUAGCAGCAAUACAAUGAUCCAGGACAAUUCUGAGGGACUUGGGAGAAAGAACACUAUCCACAUUCAGAGGAAGAACUGUGGGAAUAGAAACACUGAAGAAAAAUAGCUGUUUGAUCACAUGGGUUGAUGGGGACAUGAUUAGGGAUACAGACUCUAAAUGAUCACCCUAAUGCAAAUAUCAAUAAUACAGAAAUAGGACUUGAUCAAUGACACAUGUAAAACCCAGAGGAAUUGUACAUCGGCUACAGGUGGGGUUGUUGGGGAGGGCAGGAAAGAGCAUGAAUAUUGUAACCAUGGAAAAAUAUUCUAAAUUAAUUAAAUAAAAUUUUCCAAAACUUAAAAAAAAAAGAUAAUGGUCAAUGCCUGAUUAUGUAUAUACAAAAUUCCCUCCAAUCUCAUCAAAAGAUUAAAUUUAUUCC